rnacentral:rRNA from 1 species
UUGGGCGUAAAGCGCGUGUAGGCGGUCUCUUAAGUCUGAUGUGAAAGCCCUGGGCUCAACCCAGGAAGUGCAUUGGAUACUGGGAGACUUGAAUACGGGAGAGGGUAGUGGAAUUCCUAGUGUAGGAGUGAAAUCCGUAGAUAUUAGGAGGAACACCGGUGGCGAAGGCGGCUACCUGGACCGAUAUUGACGCUGAGACGCGAAAGCGUGGGGAGCAAACAGGAUUAGAUACCCUGGUAGUCCACGCCGUAAACGAUGAGAACUAGGUGUUGCGGGUA